rnacentral:lncRNA from 1 species
GCUCACUCCUGUAAUCCCAGCACUCUUAGAGGCCAAGGUAUGAGGGUUACUAUAAACCAGGAGUUUGACACCAGCCUAGGCAACAAUAGCAAGACCCCAUUUCUACAAAAAAAAAUUUAAAAAUUAGCUGUGCAGGAGGCUGAGUUGGGAGGAUCACUUGAGCUUAGGAGUUAGAGGUUGUAGAAAGCUAUGAUCAUACCACUGCACUCCAGGCUGGAUGACAGUGGGCCCUGUCUCUAAAACACAAAAAAAAACUAACAAAAAAAGUGUUUAAUCCAUAAGAUGACCACAUUUAUAGGAGGCUCCCGGCAAUCUUAGCCUGAAGCCAUGAAGGAAGACGCAGUGUGAAGGCAAGUGCAGGCUGGCCUCUGGCAGCUGAGGAUCAGGACAGGAUGUGGAGUGAACAUCCACAUCAAAGCUUUAUUGCUUGGAUUGGAAAAAAAAUUCCUAUCUGUAGGUCAGCCUUAAAAUACACCAUUUCAUAAAAUAUUGAUUGUCUUUCCCAUAUUUUGAGCCCAUGCAAUUUGUGCUACCUGAGGGAACAGUAUUGUGUCCUUGAUUUGGUGAGAUCAGUAGCUUUCUUAUCUUAUUGAGUGACAGCUACAGAACUCAGAAACAGAAGCUGCAUAUUAAGCAAAUUUAUAUCUUUCUUGUUAUAAUAUUAUUGUGUAUAAGAAAUAGAGAUGGCCGGGUGCGGUGGCUCACGCCUGUAAUCUCAGCACUUUGGGAGGCUGAGGCAGAUGGAUCACACGGUCAGGAGUUUGAGACCAGCCUGGCCAACAUGGUGAAACCCUGUCUCUACUAAAAAUACAAAAGGCAAUAAGAGGUUCUAUGUGGACUUUGAAGGUCGUCUCUAUCAAUUUGAGGUUGGAAAGAACAGUUUUGUUGACAUCCUUUAGCUGUGUUACAAGUACAAUUUUGUUUUUUACUCAGGCAAAAGAAAAUGUGUGUGUGUGUUAAAUACAGUCAGCCCUCUUUAUCUGUGGGUCCUGCAUCCUUGCUUUCUACCAACCUCAGAUCAAAAAUAUUCCAGAAAAAAAAGGAUGGUUGCAUCUGUACUGAAUAUGUACAAGCUUUUUUUCUUGUCAUUCUUUAUGCAAUAAAGUAUAACAACCAUUUACGUUGCAUUUCCAUUGUAUUAGGUAUUGUGGGUAAUCUAGAGAUGAUUUGAAGGAUAUUGGAGGGUGUGUCCAGGCUGCAGGCAAGUACUAUGGCAUUUUAUGUCAGGGACACCUACAGAUUUUUGUCUCCAGCCAUGGUUCCUGUAUAGUUUAACAUUUCCACACGCUGAGGGUGUGAUGGGUCUGAGUUGGGUUGGUCCCCCAUGUUUGAGGAAGUGUGCCCAUCAUGAUUGUACACCCUUGUUGUAAACUUCGGAUAUGUCUAUUUUGAUAUUUAAAACAUUUUCAGGUUAAGUCUGAAAAAUGCCAAGAUAGUAACAAUAUUUUAAAAGGGAAUUCAGAAGUAUUACUAUAAUAAUAGAACUCAUUAUUAGAACAUUCUAAUAGUAGAAAAGGAAGUCUAUUUAUUUUAUAAAAUUGUCAGUUCAGCUUAAGAUCUAAUAGUCUUUUCCAAUUAGCAGCAACUUAAUUGAGACUACCUCAAAAGAAGAAUUUAACAUUUAUUUUUGUAGAAAAAAAGCAAUUUUAAAAUAGCCUGGGAAAACUUAGGUAAGUUUUCCUUAAUCCUGACUCCUAAUUUGUGGCUAGAAGUGGCAAUGAUAUGAACAUAAGUUGUGCUAUUUGUUAAUAUAUUGCUUUUCAUAAAUCAAUCCCUUUUUUGUAAUUAGGUAAAAAGAGAAGAGAAAGACAUUCUUGAUUUUGGUGACUAGAGUUGUAGAUGCUGGAAGCUUUGCCACUAACAUUGAUGAACCAGAUGCAUGUCACCAGCCCAUCACGGUGAUUCUUAAUGCCGUUAAGUAUGAACAUACAGUAAAAGACUGUUGAUAGAAUACAUCGGUCUUAUGAAAUGAAAUGUGUUGGUUAAGGAUUUUUUAAACGAAUUUCACAUUACACAACUGGCUUUACUAAAUCUGAGUCUUGUAUUUCUGAACAGGGCACCAUGGGCCCGGCACUGCCACGUUUUCCAAGGAACCUGCCGGAGCUCCUGCGGAAGCUGCUCCUCAGGCGAUGGAGUCCCUUCGCUGGUAGGCCCUUCUUCAGUCACCACAGGAUGCCUGCCAUUCAUGAACAAGAAGGAGAGGACGGGCUUUGAAUAAAAAACAGGAUCCAGGAAAUAUUUGUGAGGCCAUUUGGACUUCAGUGUGAAAUGGUGUUAAAAGAUGAAGUCAUUUAUUCAAGAAGUAAACCUCUGCCACCUGGACUGUGCGCAGACAUUUCAUUGAUUUUGUUUAAUAAACAUUUUCUGGCUUUGGGAGGUGUCUCUCUUGGUAGAACACAGUGUCAAAGAUGGACAAGAUGGACACAUAGUCCAUUAUUUGGUAUUGUUUGUGUAUGGGAGCAGACCACAAAUUAAUGUUUGGAGAACAAUUUUGUCAUAACACACUGUUGAGGCUCAGUUGUACAGAACUGGAAAAGUCUUCAGCUUGGCACAUGUCCUGAUUCAGCCUUUGUUUAACAUAUAUUCCAAUCCGGAUUCUAUCUUCACUGGCUACAAAGACCACCUGAUACGUGCACCACGACACAGGAGCUGCUGGAGAGGGGGUAGUGUUAUCACCUCAAACCCACAGCCAUAUUUUUCAAAAGCCAGCUUAGAGAGAGGUGUACUGAUAGCUGCAUAGAGAACAUGCAGUCCAUCCAUUCUUCCCAGUGAUGUACAUUUCUCAAUCAGUAACCACGUGGUAUACCAGCCUUGAGUGUCACAUCUCCCAACCAUACCAAAUGGAUCACCUAACUGGAGGUGGGGGGGGCCCUCAGAAAUGAGAUUUCGUAUUUACUGUAAAAUUGCCUUAUUUUUUCUUUUGAGGUGGAGUCUCACUCUGUUGCCUGGGCUGGAGUGCAAUGGUGUGAUCACUGCUCACUGCAACCUCCGCCUCCUGGGUUCAAGCAGUUCUCCUGCCUCAGCCUCCCAAGUAGCUGCAAUUACAGGUGCAUGCCACCACUCCCAGCAAAUUUUUAUAUUUUUAGUGGAGACAGGGUUUCACCAUGUUGACCAGGCUGGUCUCAAACUCCUGACCUCAGGUGAUCUGCCCACCUUGGCCUCCCAAAGUUCUGGGAUUAAAGGUACGAGCCACCGCAACUGGCUGAGAAUCUUUUUAUUUGCUGAUUUGUCUCUUGUGUAUUUUCUUUGUUCAGAUGUCUCUUCAGAUCUUUUUCUCACUUUUAAAUUGUUUUUUAAUUGUUAAGAAUUUUCUGUCUAGUUUAGAUAUAAGCCCUUUAUCAGACAUGUGUUUUGCAAAUAUUUUCUCCUAGUCUGUGGCUUGUAUUCUGUCUCUUAACACUCAUUUUAUUUUUACUUUUGGAACUAAAGAAGAAGAAUGGUCAGCUUUCCAUUAUUCUUGUAACAGUAAUGGCAGAACCAAGUCUGCUAAUGCUACACUGAGCAAAGAAAGUCACCUGGUGAAGUCCAACAUUAAUGAAAUGGGGUAGUACAUGCAGGCAGCGUUGGGGGUGGGGAGGGAACAAAUGCUUCUUGAGAGUAAUAUAAUCUGCCAUACCAUCCAGGAACCUACAAUGGCUAUCUAUUACCUUAUUCUCUGGUUUGUUUAAUGUUCGAAUCUUUCCGAAAGAUCCUUCAACCUUUCUGGAAGAAUCUAAUCUGAUAACACCAUCAAAAACACAUUACUUCUUUUGGCAUAAUUUAAAUUGUAAGACAUCAUUCACAUUUAUCAAUGUUACAUAUAUAAGAACUCACCCACCAUAUUCUUCCUUGAGGAAUUACAGCAUGUAAUUCUAUAAUCAUUUUUAUAAUCGUCUAACAAUUUUAUAAUGGAUUGGUUGCUUACUAUCAAUUUUUUAAAAGUCAUGGCUUCUCCAGUCAUUUCUUGCUUAUCGAAAUUAUUUCAUGAGAUGGGUCUCUCCUUGUAUAUUUGAAAAUGAGGUUUGCUUCCUUCUACUUAAAAAACAACUUGAACAUACCUGUUUGGAUCACAUGGUCUUGUCCUGAUAACUUGGAAGAGGUUGCUUCAGCAUUGUUCUUAUUGUUGUGGUGGUUAUUAUUAAUAUUGUUUCAUAUUCUGUUUAAAAAAUUAAAAUUUUACACAAGACCAAUGUCUUCUUUUCAAUUCCAGUACAUUUUUCAGAAGUAACUAAUGCUAUUGGCUUUGUGCAUUGUAAUUUCAGACCAUUUUAUAUGUCUUUAGUUAUAUGUACAGUAUACACACAUAUGUGUCAUAUUAUUCCAUUUUUUCUAGCAUUAAACAUUGCUAUGGAAAACUCUCGGAAAAAUAUUUAUUUGAACAGAACUUUUUCUUUUCUCAGAUGUACCCUCCUUAGGAAUCUUUCUUUGAUCCUUGAAGUUUGGUAACAACUUUAAAUAUGUGUAUCCCAGCUGGGAGCAGCGGCUCACACCUGUAAUUUCAGCACUUUGGGAGGCCGAGGAGGGUGGAUCACCUGAGGUCAGGAGUUUGCCUGGCCAACAUGGUGAAACCCCGUCUUUACUGAAAAUACAAAAAGUUAGCCAGGUGUGGUGGCUGGCACCUGUAAUCCCAGCUACAUGGGAGGCUGAGGCAGGAGAAUCGCUUGAACCUAUAGAGACAAGGUUUCACCAUGUUGACCAGGCUGGUCUCGAACUCCUGACCUCAGGUGAUCCACCCACCUCAGCCUCCCAAAAUGCUGGGAUUACAGGCAUGAGCCAUUGCACCCAGCCAUACAGGAGCAAGUUUAAAAAUUAAAUAUUUAUUUGAAUAACAAGCUUACAUUGGAGCUGCAAUGUUGGCAAUCCAGAUUUUGAACACGGAUCACAAAAAGCAUGCAUAAAAUCCUACUGGCCCAGAGAACAAAACACUGCUCAGAAUUAAGCGAAAUAGCUGCUACUGUUAAGAAAACAGGCCUGAAAUCAAUAUACAAGAUUUUAAAAAAUGUAUUGGCCGGAUGCAGUGGCUCAUUCCUGUAAUUCCAGAACUUUGGGAGGCCAAGACAGGAGAAUCACCUGAGGUCAGGAGUUCAAGACCAGCCUGGCCAACAUGGUGAAACUCCAUCUCUACUAAAAAUAAAAAAUUAGCUGGGUGUGGUGACACAUGCCUGUAGUCCCAGCUACCUGGGAGGCUGAGGCAGAAUAAUUUCUCGAACCCAGGAGGAGGAGGUUUGCAAUGGCAUGAUCUCUGCUCACCGCAACCUCCGCCUCCCGGGUUCAAGCAAUUCUCCUACUUCAGCCUCCCGAGUAGCUGGGAUUACAGGCAUGUGCCACCAUGCCUGGCUACUUUUCUGUAUUUUUAGUAGAGACAGAGUUUCUCCAUGUUGGUCAGGCUGGUCUUGAACUCACAACCUCCGGUGAUCUGCCUGCCUCGGCCUCCCAUAGUGCUGGGAUUACAGGCAUGAGCCACCAUGCCUGCCCAUGAAAGCACUUUUAAAAAGAGAGCACCUCUGCUGCCUGGUCAUAUUCUGUACCUGUUCCCAAACCCUGAAACCAGUGAUGUCAAUGGCUGCGUGGGCAUUGAACGUGUACAUGAUUCCUGCAGCUUUCCUGUUGACCUGGACCAUGUUCAUCAAUGCUUUUUGGUACAUUAAUUCUACAUCUUCUUCGGUGACCACAGUUUAUGUUUAUUUCAUUUUUCAGGAAUAUCCAGCCACUGGUGCACAGCCAUUGCCACUUGUGCCCCCAGGGGAUCUUGUCAACUCCAGUAUGUCCCCCCAGCACUGUGUUAUCUGGCAUAAUAAAUGUAGUUGGGCUGUAGUUGUAGUGACUCCUCCCAAAACAACCCAGGAGUUUAAUACUGUUUGGCCACCGGUUACAGACAUUGCUGCCCCUUCCGCUGCGGCUUUAAAAGCCUAUCUAAUCGGCUGGGUGUGAUGGUGGCUCAGACCUAUAAUCCCAGCACUUUGGGAGUCCAAGGUGGGUGGAUCACCUGAGGUCAGGAGUUUGAGACCGGCCUGGCCAACAUGGUGAAACCCCAUCUCUACUAAAAAUACAGCAAAUUAGCUGGGCGUGGUGGCGCAUGACUGUAAUCCCAGCUACUCGGGAGGCUGAGGUAGGAGAAUUGCUUGGGUGGCAGAGUAAGACUCCGUCCCAAAAAAAAAAGUUAUCUAAUCAGGGACGUCACCUUUCCCUGCCAGUCAUUUUGUUACCAAUGAAAGAAAACAUAUUCAAAUCAAUUUUUAGUUCAGAAAAUGUUUCUUUCAUUGUAUCUUUGAAUUUUAUUGUUCUGCAUUUUUUACUUCAAAAACACCUACUAUAUGCAUUUUUUCUCUCGUUUCCUUUUUUUUCCAAGAAAUGUUUUUGUCCUUUUGAUUUUUUCACUGACCAUUACCAUUAUUUAUAUACCAUGUACCUGGAGAGUUUCCAAUGUUUCUCUUUGGUCUGAGAUACUUGCUAUGAUUUUCACUUUUUAAAUGCUCUUUUGAGAUUUGUUUUGUGGCCUAAAAUGUGGUCUAUCCUGGAGAAUGUUCUGUGAGCUGAUGAGAAGAAUGCACGUUCUGCAGUUGGUGGGUGAAAUGUUCUGUAAUUACCUGUGAGGUCCCUUUGACUUCUCUUGGAGUCAGUCUGGUCUGUUACUUUUCUGCCUAGAGGGUGUGUCUGUUGCUGAAAGUGGGUGUUGGAGUCCCCAGCUAUUAUUGUCUGUCUCUGUCUGUUGCUCGAAUAACUCUUACUUUAAUAACUGGGGCUCCUGUGUCAGGUGUGUUUACAUUGACAACUGUCCUACCUUCUUGCUGAAUUGAUCUCUUUAUCGUUUUAUAAUGACCUUUAUUUUCUAUUUUUGUGCUUUUUUGACUUAAAGCCUACUUUGUGUGACAAGCAUAGCUAUACAUACUCACUUUUGGUAACACUUUUCAUUUCUUAUCAUCUUCAUUGAAUCUCACUUCUUCACAUUUACCAAAAUGUCUACUUUUGAGCUGUGGCACCUCUUUGAAUCUUCAGAUCCACCACAUGCUGAUCAAGCCUUCCUUUUUGUCUGUACUCUGAGGAAUCCCAAACAGGCAUUUUUGCAAGAAAGUCUAGGAGGGAAACAUAAAUCUAUGUGUCAAAAAAAUGAACAUAGAAAAUAAUGUGUCCUGGUUAACAAAAGUUCUCAUUGUAAAGUGUUAGGCACAAGACUAUGGAAUUUCAUGUGCCAUAAAUAAAAUUGUCUUGAUUUGUCUAAAACUACAUUUUGUCUAAAACUACUUUUAAAAAUUACAUGUUACUCUAAUA